UACGGAGGGGGCGAGUGUUGUUCGGAAUUACUGGGCGUAAAGGGCGCGUAGGCGGCUUGGCAAGUCGAGUGUGAAAGCCCUUGGCUUAACCGAGGAAUGGCGCUCGAAACUACCGGGCUUGAGGACGGGAGAGGGCAGUGGAACUCUCGGUGUAGGGGUGAAAUCUGUAGAGAUCGAGAGGAACACCGGUGGCGAAGGCGGCUGCCUGGCCCGUGGCUGACGCUGAGGCGCGAAAGCGUGGGGAGCAAAC
rnacentral:rRNA from 1 species